AAAAUUUUUCUCUAUCCCAUUUUCAAAAAGCACCUUCUGAAAAAAAGUAUUAUUACAAAACUCAAAACCAUGUCUGGAGGUGUUGGUCCGACUUACAACGACAGCGCCUUACCCAAAGAAGAAGAACAUCACGCCACCGGAGAAACCUCAACAGCCGCCAGAUUCUUCUCGUUUCAGCAACUAAACAUCCUCGCAGUGUCACAAAUUAGUAGCUAAAGAAACUCUAAACUCUAAAUGUUAUUCCUUUUGAUUUUAAAACUUAUAUGCAAGAAGACAUGAUUGUAUAUGAUUGUAUAUGAUUGUAUAUUAAAUAAAAAUAACUUGAAUCAUUAGUGUAAGACAAUCAAACUGAAUAAAUUUAAGCCAAAUCAAAAUUACUAUACAUGAAUACAUGAAUGUAAUACAAAUGGAUGAUACAUGUUUGUGAAUAUUUGUGAAUGUUUAAAAUUUAUUAGUAACUCAAAUUUAUAAAAAGAUAUAUUUAUAUUUGGGUUUCUUACAUUAUUCUCUAAAGAUAUAUACUAAACCAAAUGUGAAAUAAUGUAUUUUAGACAAUUAGUAAAACAAAUAUGACAGUAGUGGUAAAAUAGUAAUAAAAGUUGCUACUACUUUAUGACUAAAUUACUUUUUAGAAGUUGCAAAUAAGACACAAAAUAAUUGUACUUAUAUAUAUGUAGCAAACAUAACAACUAUAUUUUUAUUAUAUUCUGACAUGAGAACUGUUUUUACAUGUGAAAAUAAUUCAUAGCAACAUUCUACUUAAGCACCAAAGUAAACACAUAUGUUCUGUAAAUCGAAUCCUCCACGUCUCUAAACCUCUUCCAUUCAAAUCUCCUCUCAUCCGCCACGUGUCCAUUCUUCACUCUCUUUUAUCUCUCCUCUCCACCCAAAAUUUUUCUCUAUCCCAUUUUCAAAAAGCACCUUCUGAAAAAAAGUAUUAUUACAAAACUCAAAACCAUGUCUGGAGGUGUUGGUCCGACUUACAACGACAGCGCCUUACCCAAAGAAGAAGAACAUCACGCCACCGGAGAAACCUCAACAGCCGCCAGAUUCUUCUCGUUUCAGCAACUAAACAUCCUCGCAGUGAUCCUUGUCCUCUCCGCAAGUGGUCUCGUCACAAUCGAAGAUUUCUUAUUCACACUCCUCGCGCUCAUCUACUUCUUCUUCCUCUCCAAACUAA
rnacentral:lncRNA from 1 species